UAAUACUUCGAAAAAAAAAAAAAACAUUAACUACACGUUUUCUCAAGCCUGGGACACAAAUAGCUAAGCCAGACAUGAUGAUUGCGUACUAAUUGGACACUCUCAACUAACCCUUAGAAUGUUAGCAGUAACCUUUGACCUUUAAAGCGUCACGCAAUAUGGUACGCGUCUCAAAAUAAAUACAAGAGCCGUUUAUUUCCUUGAAGUGGUGUCUCGCUCCGGCGUCAGUACAUCCUGCUCCAAUGUCUGUGCUUAUCUCGCCGACUGAGGGAGACGUUGCGCUUCUCUUGUCUGUUUUGUCCCCGUGAAGUGGCUGGCUGUGGUGUGGUAGGCAGAGGCGAGGUGGUGUGUCUCUCGAUUACGAGUGGAAAUGCCUUGAAAGAUCACCAAGGGCACUGUUAGGAACAACAACACCAAGGACAACACUCACGCAGGACCUGCACACCCUCCCUGCCCUGCCGCUCACCACAUCAUCCCCGCCACUCAAACACAAUUACUCCCUUGCGACUCUCAGCGCACGCUCGUCACCGCAAGGGUGGUGAAAGAGUAUGUCUGCACGUGUGGAUUCAUCUACUGUUGCUCCCUUCGCCUUCUUUCUUUACAAAUGUCCAUCAUGACUCGUGCCCUUCAUGCCUCUGCAAGUCCUUGGGUCACAUCAGUACGCAGUGCAGUCACCAAGCUACACUCCGUGCCUUCCCUUGUCCUCUAAAUCUUUGUGCCAGUCAUCCACCCUUCGCUGAGGCUGGUCCUUGCGACACCCUGCGCUGAUCAUGGACUCCGCACCACGUACCGACUAUGGGCAGGAGCUCUGGAGGUCGCUUGAUACUUCAGCGAUGACGGGACAAGAUACUCUCCUCGCCACCACCCGCCACUUCCCAGCAGCCGCUCGCCUCGUAACGCACGCACACAAGUUCCACUUUUAAAAAUCAUCUUUCAAACUGAUAAAUCUGACAAGUAAACGUAAUAUUGUGUUUUUUUCUUUUCUUUCCUCAUUUGUGACGUUUGACUGAUUAAUUAAUGCAAGAUGAGCACUAUUCUAUGACAAUGAAUUAUGUAUAUUUUAAAAAAGGCCCAUUUAAGAUCUUAUCGUUUUUCGUUUUUCUUUCCACAUUUCUGGUGCUUGACUAAAGAGCUUUUGUUUCUUUUUCUUUUUUUUUGCCUGAGCGUAUAUGUGUAUGAGGUGAUUACACAGCACAUUAAGUAUCACAUUACCCAAAGACGGAACAAGGAAGGAAACAAAGGCAGAAUAAGAAAAAAAGAAAAAGAAAAAAUGAAAAAUGCAUGUAGAAGACGGAUGAAACAGGAAAGCAAACAAGCCAUUAAGGCAAGAUCAAGGUUAUAAACACAAAUCAUGGACGAGUGAACCAUGGCAGACCUAAAUAAACACGGACACAGGACAUGACAACAGGAAAGGAGGGUUUGAGAGAAGGAAGACCCAAUGAAGGAGCCGAUGCCGGUGAAGGACAGUCAAAGAAGGAUGAACUCCCUCACUACUCUUUGGUACAUCUUUCACAUAUCACGUUUAUGUGUAGGAAAGACACUCGUUUAUUAACCCAUAUAUUUUUUUUUCACUACUGUAGAUGUUUGACGUGUAAUGCACCAUAAAAAACGAUAAUAAAUAUUUGAUAAACGUCUUGAAACGUACCCGUGAAAGAUGAUUUGGCGGGCCACACGUAAAUUCACUGCUAUUUCUUGUAAGUUUUCGUUAAUAUUUGCAUUUUAUUCCUAGUAAUGAAUCGUUAAAAUGGACAUGAAACUUCUAUUUUGGUUUCCUUUCGUUCGUUGCAAGUUUGUUUUGUUAUUUAUUUUGUUUCCCUUCAUUUUACUGUUUGUUUUCUCUGUCACUACCUAACCUGACUGUCUAUGUAUCUAAUUUUCCGGUCUUUCUAUGUCCUAAUCACCACACAAAAUAACCAACACUACUAACCACAUAAAUGUCUUUCCUUGCUCCAUUUCGCACUCUUUGUCUCAGUCGUUAUUUCAACCUCACCUACUAUUUGAUAAUCCUAUUUUUCCCUGUCCUAAAUUCCACAUAAUUUAAUCACACCUACACUAGCAACCAUUUAAUUGUCUCUCCCUGCUCCACUUUCAACGCUUU